AGUGAACGCUGGCGGUAGGCCUUACACAUGCAAGUCGAACGGCAGCACAGUAAGAGCUUGCUCUUACGGGUGGCGAGUGGCGGACGGGUGAGGAAUACAUCGGAAUCUACUUUUUCGUGGGGGAUAACGUAGGGAAACUUACGCUAAUACCGCAUACGACCUACGGGUGAAAGCAGGGGAUCUUCGGACCUUGCGCGAUUGAAUGAGCCGAUGUCGGAUUAGCUAGUUGGCGGGGUAAAGGCCCACCAAGGCGACGAUCCGUAGCUGGUCUGAGAGGAUGAUCAGCCACACUGGAACUGAGACACGGUCCAGACUCCUACGGGAGGCAGCAGUGGGGAAUAUUGGACAAUGGGCGCAAGCCUGAUCCAGCCAUACCGCGUGGGUGAAGAAGGCCUUCGGGUUGUAAAGCCCUUUUGUUGGGAAAGAAAAGCAGCAGGUUAAUACCUCGCUGUUCUGACGGUACCCAAAGAAUAAGCACCGGCUAACUUCGUG
rnacentral:rRNA from 1 species